GCUGGGCAUGGUGGCGCACGCCUGUAAUCCCAGUGGCUCGAGAGGCUGAGACAGGAGAAUCAUGAGUUCAAAGCCAGCCUCAGCAAAAGCGAGGUGCUAAGCAACUCAGUGAGACCUUGUCUCUA
rnacentral:sRNA from 1 species